UCCAUCAAAUAGAUACUUCAGUUUCUAGGUCCGAGAUAUGAUCUUGUUAAACUCGAUGAGAACAACAAGGAUCUGAUUACUUACAUGGAUGCCAUACAGAGGUCCGACUCUGAUUAGCGGCUUAGAGCCAUGUGUCCAAAAUGGAGUCCAUGAAGAUAAAUGAUGUAUGAACAUUAGUUGAUCCACCUGAAGGGGUAAAACCCAUAGGGUAUAUAUGAGUCUUCAAU
rnacentral:lncRNA from 1 species